rnacentral:misc_RNA from 1 species
CCAAUAGCGUAUAUUAAAGUUGUUGCAGUUAAAAAGCUCGUAGUUGAAUUUCGGGGUUAGUAGGUUGGUCAUGCCUCUGGUAUGUACUGGUCUCACUGAUUCCUCCUUCCUGAUGAACCUUAAUGCCAUUAAUUUGGUGUUUUGGGGAAUUUGGACUGUUACUUUGAAAAAAUUAGAGUGUUUAAAGCAAGCUAACGCUUGAAUACAUUAGCAUGGAAUAAUGAAAUAGGACGUUCGAUCCUAUUUUGUUGGUUUCUAGGAUUGACGUAAUGAUUAAUAGGGAUAGUUGUGUGCAUUAGUAUUCAAUUGUCAGAGGUGAAAUUCUUGGAUUUAUUGAAGACUAACUACUGCGAAAGCAUUUGCCAAGGAUGUUUUCAUUAAUCAAGAACGAAAGUUAGGGGAUCGAAGACGAUCAGAUACCGUCGUAGUCUUAACCAUAAACUAUGCCGACUAGGGAUCGGAUGAUGUUAAUUUUUUAAUGACUCAUUCGGCGCCUUACG